GAUGUCACUGCAGGUCCGGGCGGGAACCUGGGCUCGCGGAAGGGCCGGGGGGACCCGCAGGGGAGAAAAAGGAAGUUGUCCUCCACGAACGCCUGGAAUCGCAGUGGAUUUGAAUCGAAAGUUGUUCGGUAUCAGCAUUUUGCAAUUUUAAGGGGCUUUGUUAUGCACCUAAAGCCAUACUGGAAGCUCCAGAAGAAAGAGCACCCCCCGGAAGUCAGCAGGGAAACGCAGAGAACUCCUAUGAACCACCAAAAGGCUGUAAAUGAUGAAACAUGCAAAGCUAGCCACAUAACACCAAGUAUCUUUCCUUCACCCUCUCUCGGUAAAUCAUCAUCUCGAAAGCCAUUUGGGAUCCUUUCUCCAAAUGUUCUGUGCAGUAUGAGUGGGAAGAGUCCUGUAGAGAGCACCUUGAAUGUUAAAACCAAAAAGAAUGCACCAUCUGCAACGAUCCACCAGGGCGAAGAAGAAGGACCACUUGAUAUCUGGGCUGUUGUGAAACCUGGAAAUACCAAGGAAAAAAUUGCAUUCUUUGCAUCCCACCAGUGUAGUAACAGGAUAGGAUCUAUGAAAAUAAAAAGUUCCUGGGAUAUUGAUGGGAGAGCUACUAAGAGA
rnacentral:sRNA from 1 species